UACAGAGGGUGCGAGCGUUGUCCGGAAUCACUGGGCGUAAAGGGCGCGUAGGUGGCGGCCCAAGUCCAUGGUGAAAGCUCGUCGCUCAACGACGAGUCGGCCACGGAUACUGGGUUGCUCGAGCACUGUAGAGGCAGAUGGAAUUCCGGGUGUAGCGGUGGAAUGCGUAGAGAUCCGGAAGAACACCGGUGGCGAAGGCGGUCUGCUGGGCAGUAGCUGACACUGAGGCGCGACAGCGUGGGGAGCGAACAGG
rnacentral:rRNA from 1 species